AACCUGACUAAAAAGAUAGACCAGCUACAGACAAGUUAUAACAACCUGACUAAAGAGAGAGACCAGCUACAGGCUGAGAGAGAUGUUAUUAGCGUGAGGCUUACCAAUUGCAAACAAACGUGUCCUGAAGGCUGGCAGAAGUUUAAAUCCAGUUGCUACUUCCUGUCUGCUGAGACUAAAACCUGGAAGGAGAGCAGAGAGAACUGUCUGGAGAGAGGAGCAGACCUGGUGAUCAUAGACAGCGAUAAGGAACAGGAGUUUCUCUUCAAACUCAACAAGAGAGUCUGGAUUGGUCUGACUGACUCUGUUACUGAGGAGACUUGGAGAUGGGUGGACGGCACCCCACUGACCACCACAAGGUACUGGAAUGACAAGCAGCUGAUAGGGAGAUCCUAGUGGGGAGGAGGACUGUGUUGAGAUACAUAAAGAUUGGAUUCCACUUAAGGCAUGGAAUGACAUGUCAGUUGACUGGAAACUCAACUGGAUUUGUGAGAAAGUGGUUUAACGUCUUAGGGCUAGGGGGCAGAAUUUCCAUGUCUGCCUGCUGACGUGCCCAAAGUUGUACUGCCUGUUACUCAGCCCAGAGGCUACUAUAUGCAUAUAGAAAACACUCUGAAGUUUCUAAAACUGUUAAAAAAAAUCUGUGAGUAUAACAGAACUGAUAUAGCAGGCGAAAACCCGAGGAAAAUCCAUCCGAUAUUAACAUCACCAUGACAACAUGCUUUAACACAAACAUCAGCCUACAGUGCACACCACUUCCUCCUUCAUUCUCUCUCUCUGUCUUUCCUCACACCCUUACACACAUUUUCACACACACACGCACGCACACACACAUGCAUGCAAAUGCACCUAUUGUUGUAUUUGUUGUUAGAUCAUAUUAAUAAAAG